GGUUUUUUAGUAUAAAUAGUAUGUAAAAUUGCAAAUUUUGAGGUCAAAAAACCU
rnacentral:tRNA from 1 species